rnacentral:rRNA from 11 species
UUGCCCAGAAUAAACGCUAUCGAUUUGCAUUACACAUGCAAGUUUAAUGUUGUUUAAUAUAUAGCGCACGGGUGCGUAAAAUGUAAGAAUUUAAUUUAAAAUUUGAACAAAUUCAAUUGUAGUUAAUUUCAAAUGUAAAAAAGAAAUGCAAUCGUUUUAAAAUAAGCUUAUAUAAGAUUAGAUAGUUGGUGAUAAAUUAAUAGUUUACCAAGUCAAUUAUCUUUAAUUGGUUUUUGCGAAUGAUCAAUCACAUUAACAUUGAAAUAAGGGUUAAACUUUUUUAAAGGCAGCAGUGAGGAAUAUUGGACAAUGAGCAAAUGCUUGAUCCAGCAAUAUCGAGUGGGUGAUUUGAAGGCUAGUUAGUUGUAAAACCCUUUUAUUAUUAAUUUAUUAUGAUUUUUUAAUAAAAAACCUGAGCAAAUUUCGUGCCAGCAGCUGCGGUUAUACGAAACAGGUUAGUGUUAUUCAAAAUUAUUGGGCGUAAAACGUAUGUAGAUGGUUAUUAUUUGUAAAGCAAAAAACCCUAAGUUAAACAAUUUUAGUUUUUUUUUUAAACAAAUAACUAGAGUAUAGCGAAAGAUUAUAGAAUUUCAAAAGUAGAAAUAAAAUUUGUUAAUAUUUGAAAGAAUGCUUAUAGUGAAAACAAUAAUCUGCACUUUACUGACAUUAAAAUACGAGGGCAUGGGUAGCAAACAGGAUUAGAUACCCUGGUAGUCUAUGCGGUAAACUAUGAAUAUUCAUUUUUAAAAUUAAAAUGAUUUAAAAAUUAAAUUAACGUGGGAAAUAUUCUGCCUGAGAAUUACAAUAUCAAUAUUUAAACUUAAAGGAAUUGGCGGGGUUUUAUAAAAUUGGUGGAUUAUGUGGUUUAAUUCGUAAAUACACGCAAAACCUUACCAUUUUUUGCAUAAUUAUAAUAAAUUUUUUUGUUAUCAAAAUAUAAUUACAGGUGCUGCAUGGUUGUUGUCAGUUCGUGUUGUGAAAUGUGUGGUUAAUUCCUAUAACGAGCAAAACCCUCCUUUUUUAUUAUAAACUAAUUUUUAUCAAACCUAAUUGGUUCGUUGCAAUUUUUUAACUUAAAAAAGAUCACUUAUUAUAAAUAAGAUGAAAAGAGGUUGAUUUCAAAUCUUCAUGGCCUUUAUAAAAUGGGCAACACAUGUAAUACAAAAAUAGUAAACAAAUAGUUGCAGCAAUGAAAAUUAAAGCAAAUCUCGAAAAACUAUAAAAAUUCAAAUUGUUUUCUGAAACUUGAAAACAUGAAGUUGGAAUCAAUAGUAAUCAUUUAUCAGCAAGGAAUGGUGAAUCUAAAUUUAAAACUUGUACAUACCGCCCAUCACAGCCAGGAAAUCAAUUUUAUUUAAAGAUAAUUAUAGGCGGUUGGUUUAAUAACAAAAAGUCAGGUUUUUAAAUAAUUUACCUAAUGAUUUAUAAGCAAGUUUUUAAUAGUUUAUUUAAAAUAAAAUUGUUAACUUAGUUGAAGUUGUAACAAGGUAACAGUAGAGGAAUCUGUUGUUGGA